rnacentral:rRNA from 1 species
AUUGAACGCUGGCGGCAGGCCUAACACAUGCAAGUCGAGCGAGCGGCGGACGGGUGAGUAAUGUCUGGGAAACUGCCUGAUGGAGGGGGAUAACUACUGGAAACGGUAGCUAAUACCGCAUACCAUCAGAUGUGCCCAGAUGGGAUUAGCUAGUAGGUGGGGUAACGGCUCACCUAGGCGACGAUCCCUAGCUGGUCUGAGAGGAUGACCAGCCACACUGUAACUGAGACGGGGUCCAGACUCCUACGCGACGCAACAGUGGUGAGUAUUGGACAAUGGGCGCAAGCCUGAUGCAGCCAUGCCGCGUGUGGGAAUAAGUCGUUCGGGUUGUAAAGCCUUUUCUGCGGGGAGGCGUUACGGGCAGAAGAAGCACCGGCUAACUACGUGCCAGCAGCCGCGGUAAUAC